rnacentral:lncRNA from 1 species
UAGGAUUUGGUUUAGGAUUUAGGGUUUGUCUAGGGUUUGAUUUAGGAUUUGGUUUAGGAUCUAGAAUUUAUUUUAAGGUUUAGUUUAGGAUUUAGGAUUUGUUUAGGAUUUUUUUAGAGUUUGAUUUAGGAUUUUGUUUAUGAUUUAGGAUUUGCCUAAGGUUCAAUUUAAGGUUUGGUUUAAGGACUAGGGUUUGAUCAAGGAUUUGGUUUAGGAUUUAGGAUUUUUUUAGGAUUUAAUUUAGGAUUUAAUUUAAGAUUUAGGAUUUAGAAUUUGUCUAGGGUUUGAUUGAAGUCCAUUAGGGUUUCAAUUAGGAUUAAAUUAGAACUUGGUUGAGAUUUAUUUAAGAUAUAUUUAUCAUUUGUCUAAUAUUUUUUAGAAUUUUUUAAUGAUUCUUUUAAGGUUUAUUGUAGAUUUUCUUUCAAUUCUUUUAAGAUUUUUUUUAUAUAUAUAAUUUCUUUAAGAUUUCUUUUGAAUUUGAUUAAAUCUUUUUUAGCAUUUUUUAGGUUUAAGUAUAGUUGUUUUGAGAGUCAAUCUACAAAGAUGGCAACUAUGGUGUUGAUUACAAGGCAUCUACAAUAAAUACAUAAUAAAAUUUAUAGUCAUUUGCUCUCAAUAUAUUGUAGGUAGUAAAAUUGGCUCUAAUAAUCCAAGAGAUGCUGUGUUGUAUGCUUUAUUAUAUUGACAUGACUUGUAAGAGCAAAGAAAACUUUGAACAUCACAAUUCAAACUU